GACGAACGCUGGCGGCGUGCUUAACACAUGCAAGUCGAGCGGAGCGGCGAACGGGCGAGUAACGCGUGAGUAACUGCCCCCCUCCCUGGGAUAACAGUUGGAAACGGCAGCUAAUACCGGAUAGUGGGGGAUGACUCGCGUCCUAUCAGCUUGUUGGUGGGGUAGUGGCCUACCAAGGCGACGAAGGGUAGCCGGUCUGGGAGGGCGACCGGCCACAUUGGGCUGAGAUACGGACCAAACAACUACGUGAGGCAGCAGUGGGGAGUAUUGCACGAUGGGGGAAAGCCUGAGGCAGCAACGCGCGUGCGGGAUGACGGCCUUCGGGUUGUAAACCGCUUUCAGCCAUGACGCGGUAGUGGCAGAAGAAGCACCGGCUAACUACGUGCCAGCAGCCGCGGUAAUAC
rnacentral:rRNA from 1 species